CAUAAACGGAAAUUUCACUAACUUACUAAUAGCCUAAAAUCGUCUUCCUAGUUCAGAGUCUCCUUGAUAUCCAGUGAGAUAACUUGAAGUUGACGUACAUACAAUUGUCUGUCGGGAAAAUAGCUAGCUUUGUCAGGCACUGAAUUGUUGAACCAUUGAAGCGAGACACAUUUUCUAGAAACUUCUGAUAAUACUGGUUAUGGAAGUGGAUAUAUUGUUGAUUCUUGUGUUCACGAAUAUUCUACAAUCUUGGAAAAUUGGCGGGAGUUUCACCAUACAUAACUAACACGGCUCUUUGAAUUAUGUCACAUGUGAUAAAAGAAUGUUGGAACCAUAAUCCAGCUGCCCGACUCACAGCUCUUCGUAUCAAGAAAACAGUAGCCAGCCAUGGAGUGCAGCAUUACAUGAAGAUGUGAUUGUGUGUGUGUGUGUGAAGAGAAGGGAAUGUGGUUGAAAUUAUAAACAACAAAACAGAGUUUAUCUAUGUGACUCAUAGAGUAACCAAGUUAAUGUGAUGCAAGGUUGUGCUGCAUGUCAUAUUGCAUAAUAACUGUUCAAUACUUAAUUUUAAAGAAUAAUUAGGGUGUAACAUGGACUAUGAAACCUGUAAAACUUUUGCUAUUAGUAUGAAAAUAAAUUAAAGGAACUAA